UGGUCACUCAACUCUCUCUCAUUCUUCUUCCAAAACUCAGUUGCACGCCACCAACUCUCUCUUAUUCUUCUCCCGUGCCAGCUGCGUUCGACGUCACCACGCUCAGAAGAUCUACUAUCCGCGAUCUUCGGCGUCUUCCCAUGGCUUCUCCGGCGUUGGCCAUCACGUCGCCCCAUCAAUCAUUACGUGGAUGGGAUUGGCUUGGUAACUGGUGUUUCUGAGGAGAAGCAGUAUCUGAAGGAUUCCAAAGUUACUAGGGUUAUACAGAUGGAACUAACAGAUGACAGGGGAAGUUGCAAUGGUCUUUGUUUGGGAACUUUGUUGACAUAGUUAAUGAGUUUAUGGCUAGAGGGUGGGAUGGUCCUCAAGUAGCUACAGUGAGGCUGGCGAAGGUCAACCUAUACAAAGGUACGAGUUGAUGAUGUAUGCUCAUAAGUUGGUUUAUGUUCUGUCAAAAGGGAUCAAUCUAAGAGUUUGCUAGAGGCUUUGAGCGUAUUAAAUGGCCACGAAAACAAAAGAUGCCACGAACAGUAUAUUGGGAGCCACCGUCAGAAACUGUUUUGAAGUUUAAUGUAGAUGAGGCGUCGAAAGGGAACCCAGUGGUGAGUGGUAUUGGCGGGAUUUUGAGGGAUCAAGCAAGGGAUUUGUUAGGUUCCUUUGCAAAAGGAACUGGAAUGUUGUGGGCUUUUGACGAAGGUUCAAGCAGUGUUACAUGCUUUGUUAUUUUUCCAGAAAUUUAAAUUUUCAAAUGUGGUAGUUGAGAGUGAUUCCUCCUCAGUGGUUGGGUGAGUACGUCUAUGGUAGAUAAGAGGUCAUUGGGCUUAUAAAAAAAGAUAGGAGGUCAUGGAAAUUGGAACAUGUAUUUAAUCAUAUAGAUCAUCUGAUGUCUAUAAUUCAUUGUGUUGGUGUGGUGCAUGUAUUGAGUCAGGAAAACACUAUGACAAACUUUUUGGCAAAUCAAGGGUGUGGUAGGGAACAACAGAUAUGGGUCUGUUGUGAUCCAAUGUAAUUAUCUAAAUGAGAAGGUUUUUCUCAUUUUUAUUGCGUUUCUAUAAGGUUUUCUUUUUUUAAAAAAUGUCAAUUAUCAAAUUUGAGUAAUAUUAAUUAUUUAGAUUUAGAGAACUCUAAUUCUACUCAAUGAAAUGUCUCACCUCCAUUGUUAUUUAAAUUAUUAUAUUUUAUAAUUAAACAUAUUUAUAUAUUUAUUAAAACUAUAAUAUCAUAUAUAAUUUUUAAAAUAUUAUAAAUAAACCCGUGCAACGCACGGGUAUAAUUUCUAGUUUUUAGUAUUUGGGGUUUUAGUGAAGUUGAUAAUUAUGAGAGAAGAGAUACAUCUUUCUCUAGGCAAGAAGACUAAAAUGACUUAAACGUGAUGGUCUUUGUUUGAUUUAAAGCUGAUGCUCUCAGCUCUCUAUUUGACUUAUUAAUAGGCUUAGUUUAAUUAAUGAUGGUAGGAGUCCAUAUAAACUACAAUGCAAAGAAUCACAUCACCAAUGGAAAAAAAUGACGCUUUAAAGGUUGAUUCUAUUUCUUGAUUUUUGUUAGGCAUGAUUUGUCUUGAUAGCACAACUUGAGUUUGGAGUGUUGUCGUAAUUAGCCAAAGUGUUCCCUAGAUAGAUAUGGUAAAAAACUUAUUGAUUUGAUUUAUUCUCUUCGUGGUAUGUUAUCAUUUUACUUGCAGGAAAGCUGACAUGCUAACCAAAAGUGGUGCAUAAAUAGAGGAAGUUGUGCUGAUGACAGAGCUAUUGUAGGAAAUCAAGGAAGGACACUGUGUGGAUUAUGGAGUUUGAUUGGAAUAACAUGAUCCACUUUUUUUAAGAAGAGACUAAUGCAAGAUGCAGAAAAGGCUGAAGGAUAUGAGAAGGUUAGGCUACUCCCUCAAUGCACAAACUCUCCAUUCUAUGAUCACUUGGUAUGCUGCCAUUAGAGGGAAAUAUCUGGAGGUUGAAGAAUGGAAUCUCCAAGUUUUGUGUUUCAAAAAACCGAAGAAGUAAAAGGAGUCAAGCAGAUAUUUUUAUCUACUUAAGAUAUUAGAAAACUCUGUAAUUUUUUCUAACUUUUAUAACUCUAUCCAUUUUGAGAGCAAAUAUUUAGAGCAUUUAUUAUUUUGGAAGAAGAUCAAAGGACAAAGUAAGAGAAGAAGCAAAAGAGGAAACUUGCAUCAAUCUAUGGAGAAUGUAGAAGAAAGAAGAGCAUCAUUGACACUUAAGCAUGCAUAUCUAAGUACUCUAUUUCAAGUAUUUUUACUGACUGAGUGUGACAUGGAGAAGGAAUUAUAAAUAUUAAUAAAUACAAUAAUGAUUUA